GACGAACGCUGGCGGCGUGCUUAACACAUGCAAGUCGAACGGAAAGACCCUGCUUUUGUGGGGUGCUCGAGUGGCGAACGGGUGAGUAACACGUGAGUAACCUGCCCUUGACUUUGGGAUAACUUCAGGAAACUGGGGCUAAUACCGGAUAGGAGCUCCUGCUGCAUGGUGGGGGUUGGAAAGUUUCGGCGGUUGGGGAUGGACUCGCGGCUUAUCAGCUUGUUGGUGGGGUAGUGGCUUACCAAGGCUUUGACGGGUAGCCGGCCUGAGAGGGUGACCGGCCACAUUGGGACUGAGAUACGGCCCAGACUCCUACGGGAGGCAGCAGUGGAGAAUAGUGCACAAUGGGCGGAAGCCUGAUGCAGCAACGCCGCGUGCGGGAUGACGGCCUUCGGGUUGUAAACCGCUGUCGCCUGUGACGAAGCGUGAGUGACGGUAAUGGGUAAAGAAGCACCGGCUAACUACGUG
rnacentral:rRNA from 1 species